rnacentral:rRNA from 1 species
UACGUAGGGUGCAAGCGUUGUCCGGAAUUAUUGGGCGUAAAGAGCUCGUAGGCGGUCUGUCACGUCGGAUGUGAAAAUCCAGGGCUUAACCCUGGACCUGCAUUCGAUACGGGCAGACUAGAGUUCGGUAGGGGAGACUGGAAUUCCUGGUGUAGCGGUGAAAUGCGCAGAUAUCAGGAGGAACACCGGUGGCGAAGGCGGGUCUCUAGUACGGUACUGACGCUGAGACGCGAAAGCGUGGGGAGCGAACAGG